rnacentral:rRNA from 1 species
GCUUAACCGUAAACCUUAAUUUACACCCCAAUCGCCUGGGAACUACGAGCAAAGCUUAAAACCCAAAGGACUUGACGGUACCCCAUAUCCACCUAGAGGAGCCUGUCCUAUAAUCGAUAACCCCCGCUUAACCUCACCAACUCUUGCUACUCAGCCUGUAUACCUCCGUCGUCAGCUUACCACGUGAGCGAACAUUAGUGAGCUUAAUGUCUUACAUCAACACGUCAGGUCAAGGUGCAGCAUAUGAGUUGGGAAGAGAUGGGCUACACUUUCUAGUCUAGAAAAUACGAAAAACUAUUUAUGAAAUCUAGUUUAAAGGCGGAUUUAGAAGUAAAAAGAAACAAGAGCGUUCUCUUUAACUAGGCACUGGGGUGUGUACACACCGCCCGUCACCCUCUUCGAAGCUAAUAAAUAGUUAUUAACUAACUUACGCUAUACAGAAGAGGCAAGUCGUAACAUGGUAAGUAUACCGGAAGGUGUGCUUGGAAA